GGACGAACGCUGGCGGCGUGCUUAACACAUGCAAGUCGAGCGGUAAGGCCCUUUCGGGGGUACGACGAGCGGCGAACGGGUGAGUAACACGUGGGUGACCUGCCCUCAGCUCUGGGAUAAGCCUGGGAAACCGGGUCUAAUACUGGAUAUGACUCCAUGACGCAUGUUGUGGGGUGGAAAGCCUUGUGCGGCUGAGGAUGGGCCCGCGGCCUAUCAGCUUGUUGGUGGGGUGAUGGCCUACCAAGGCGACGACGGGUAGCCGGCCUGAGAGGGCGACCGGCCACACUGGGACUGAGACACGGCCCAGA
rnacentral:rRNA from 1 species